rnacentral:tRNA from 4 species
GCCGAAGUGGUGAAAUUGGUAGACACGCAACGUUCAGGGCGUUGUGCUCGCAAGGGCAUGGGGGUUCGAGUCCCCCCUUCGGCACCA